UACGAACGCUGGCGGCAGGCCUAACACAUGCAAGUCGAGCGGAUCGACGGACGGGGGAGUAAUGCCUAGUAAUCUGACUUGUAGUGGGGGAUAACGUCCGGAAACGGGAGCUAAUACCGCAUACUAUCAGAAGAGCCUAGGUCGAAUUAGCUAGUUGGUGGGGUAAAGGCCUACCAAGGCGACGAUCCGUAACUGGUCUGAGAGGAGGAUCAGUCACAAUGGAACUGAGACACGGUCCAGACUCCUACGGGAGGAAGCAGUGGGGAAUAUUGGACAAUGGGCGAAAGCCGGAUCCAGCCAUGCCGCGUGUGUGAAGAAGGUCUUCGGAUUGUAAAGCGCUUUAAGUUGAGGGGGGUUACCAACAGAAUAAGAACCGGCUAACUGCGUGCAAGCAGCCGCGGUAAUUC
rnacentral:rRNA from 1 species